AUCUCCAUUUUCUUUCGUUAAAGUUUAUUUUCUUUUUAAAUUUCGAGCCGACCCCAAAAACGCCACCAAACGCCGCCAUGUCUCCGCCGACGGCUUGCCUUAUCCUCUCCGGUUCUACCCCGUUCCCGCCAAAGCCCCCCAUUAUUUCACCACCGCCAAAACAACCAUACGGCCAUCACCAGGGGCUUCAUCGUUUUCGCAUCAACAGCUCGCGCAGAGAAGCCACUGCUCUUUCAUUGCUAGCAGCCAUCGUUCCCUGCCUCCAGCAUCCCGCGGCCUCAACUGCUCUGUCCAUCGGGAUCUCAGGACCGAAGGAGUGGCUCAGGGAGCAGAAGAAGAAGUCGUCGAAGUUUCUCUUGGCUCCCAUCGACGCCUCUCGCAACAGCCUUAGCGCUGCUUAUCUCUUACUAACGAAAGGUGGUUCGGAUUUGGGUGAUAGCGACUUGGAGGAAGUUCAGAAGCUGCUGAGAUCUGCUGCUAGGGAUUGCGUUCCUGAGGACAGGAAUUCUUUUGUCACCUUUCAAGCUAGAACGGGAGUCGAGGUUUGCACGUUCAGGUUGAUUCUGAAGAAUGCGUCUUCAUUGCUUGAGGAUAAAGAUCCCCUAAAGUUGGAAGCUGAAGUUAAUCUUACUGACCUUUUAAGGUCCUUUGCCUCUCUCAAUUCCAUGGCAAAUGAAACUGAUAUUCAAUUGCCUUCCAGUAGGCAGAAGGUGGCAGAUGCACUAAUGGCUACAAUAACUUUCCUGAACAAAUUCGAGCAGGGUGUCAAGGAUUGCCUGGAAAUUUGAUUCUCUCAAUCCUGCAGACUUUAUGUACUGCUUUUCAUCUCUUCUUGAAGUUUUUCAAAAGCUGCUUCUUGCUAUGGGGAUGAAGACAUUGACUGUUAAAAGUGACAGAUGUGUACAACUCUGUUGUCUGCAGAGCAACCUUACAAUAUGUUAGCAAGUUACAUUAGGCAAUGCUGAAGCUUGGUGGCAAUUCUCCAGGUGGAGGAUGUGUACAAUUACUCUUGUCUGCAGAGGAACUUACACAUCUUUGAAUUGUUUAGCAAUAUAGAGGUAAAGCCAAGUCAUGCUAGAUUAUUCCUGAAUAUUUUUCUUAUUAAACCCCCUUUUAAGGUUACUCUGUAUUCUUUCAACCGUGCUUUGUGGCCAUGAUGUGUUACAAAUUUGAUUCUGAUCAUUUUGAUAUAAUCAACUGUGUUAUUUAUUUUA